GGGCUGAGUAUAUAGGAUGUGGCCCAGGCAGCAAUAGGGCUGAGUAUAUAGGAUGUGGCCCAGGCAGCAAUAGGGCUGAGUAUAUAGGAUGUUGAUGUGGCCCAGGCAUAAUUCUUAAAACAGAAUUAUAUAUAUAUAUAAUUCUGUUUUAAGAAUUAUUUUAAAUUAGAAGAUGUAUUGUUUUGACCAGGAACGUGUCUGUCUCCACGUAGGACUUACAUCAUCACCCAGACUCCUUUCUGCAUGCAACAGGACUAGCCUAUUUAUCCGGCACUUCAUGAAACUUGGUGUUAGACUCGUGGGUUUUCUUUAGUUUAAACUCACAGGUGGGUAGUCAAAAGAUAUGGUGGGGGGGGUGACUACUCUUGGGAGUACCAGUGACAUAGUCGUCAGAUUUCAAAUGUUUUGGAGUUCAAUCAAAUCUGCAGUGACCAGAAACCAGAAUCACUGCGCAAACAUAGCAAGCGUGUUUUCAUUACAAGAAUGAAAUCUGUUUUGUCACCCCCCCCAGCCCAUUGAACAAUGUCUUGCUAAUUACUUUAGAUAAAACCAUGCACUUUUCUUCUGGCUCAAGAACAAAUGUUUGAAUGAAUUCUAGCCUACGCUCAAUCCCUCUUGCACAAGUACUUACAUCAAUGUAACGCCCCUGUCUCGAAAAACCUUUAAAAAAAAACGUGUCCUUGCACGAGAGAUCUAUUUGUUAGUGACUUUUUAAAAUGUAACAUAACGAUAGUAGCUAUAUUCUCAUUUACUUUAAUGCAAAAUAUGUUAAACCUGUAAUACUCUUGUCAUGUUGUUGGCAGUAUGUGGCUGUUACAGUAGAGCAGGCCUGUUUAAAGUAGUUUGCUUAAACGGUAGUAAUCAGUUUUGGCACAACACCAGAAAUAACAGACAACAUUUUUUAAUUUUUUUUAAUCUGCACUAGAAUUUUCUCCUUCUAGAUCGGGUGACUCCGGUCUCCCACCUUGCAUUGAGAAUAUGUCCUAUAUCGACCAGAGAUUCAGACCAAUGUAUACACCCUGUGGCUUGUCCUCCUCAAUAAAAUGUCAAGUGUAGACAAUAGUUUGGAUGUGGCCCAUUUCUGUCCUCCAUAUAGUGACUAGGGAGGUGUAUAACUGAUGAUGAUCUCUCACAAAGGGCUAUGGAAUGUCUUCAGAUUCACAACAGCUAGGCCAGUUGAUCUGAACCCUGACGUGAUCACACCGUCUGCAUUUUUUUUUUUUUUUACAGCUGGAUGUUCUGGUACAAGUUGUGACAUUUCUCCCCCUGAGUGACCCCAAGUACCACUGUCUCUCUCUCUCGCUCUCUCUAGAUCAUCAGUCGUAGCUCCUAUUCUAUUAAAAUGCCCUUUACAUAUAACUAAGCUGUACUGUGCUGGCUCUGAUAGGGUUCUUUUCAGCACAGUUCCAGCAACAAUGACAUGGUGGAUGUGUAACUAGGCCAGGCCAGUGCAGUUUGUGUCAGCACAGCUGGGCUCAGUAGUGUGAAAGGGGUUUAAUAAUACCAGGGUCUGACUUGGGUCUUCAGUAAUAUGUCUCCCCUGGUCCAGAAACCUGGAGGUGGAGGCUAGAGGAGGAUACGGGUCAGUCAGUUACACCACAGUUUGAAGGCAAAAUAUACAUAUUGCGUUUGCCAUUUUCACGUUUGGUUCUUUAAUGAAGCAGAAAUUAGUGGAAGUAAAUAUCAAAAGUAAGAUGGAAAAAUCUACCCAUUGGUUACCUACAGUACCAGUCAAGAGUUGACACCAACUCAUUCAAGAGUUUUCUUUAUUGUUACUAUUUUCUACAUUAUAGAAUUAUAGUGAAGACAUCAAAACUAUGAAAUAAAACAUAUAGAAUCAUGUAGUAACCAAAAACGUGUUAAACAAAUCAAAAUUAUAUUUUAUAUUUGAGGAUCUUCAAAGUAGCCACCCUUUGCCUUGAUGACAGCUUUGCACACUCUUGGAAUUCUCUCAACCAGCUUCAUCUGGAAUGCAUUUCACUGUCUUGAAGGAGUUCCCACAUUAUGAUGAGCACUUGCUGGCUGCUUUUCCUUCACUCUGCGGUCUAACUCAUCUCAAACCUGAUGCAGCACUCCAUCACUCUCCUUCUUUGUCAAAUAGCCCUCACACAGCCUGGAGGUGUGUUGGGUCAUUGUGCUGUUGGAAAACAAAUGAUAGUCCCACUAAGAGCCAACCAGAUGGGAUGGCAUAUCGCUACAGAAUGCUGUGGUAGCCAUGCUGGUUGUGUGCCUUGAACUCUAAAUAAAUCACAGACAUUGUCACCAGCAAAGCAUCCCCAAACCAUCACACCUCCUCCUUCAUGGUGGGAAAUACACAUGUGGAGAUCAUUAGUUCACUUACUCACAAAGACACGGAGGUUGGAACCAAAAAUCUCAAAUUUGGACUCAUCAGACCAAAGGACAGAUUUCCACCGGUCUAAUGUCCAUUGCUUGUGUUUCUUUGCAGCAAUUCGACCAUGAAGGUCUGAUUCACACAGUCUCCUCUGAACAGUUGAUGUUGAUGUGCCUGUUACUUGAACUCUGUGAAGCAUUUAUUUGGGCUGCAAUUUCAGAGUCUAGUAACUCUAAUGAACUUAUCCUCUGCAGCAGAGGUAAUUCUGGGUCUUCCUUUCCUGUGGCAGUCCUCAUGAGAGCAAGUUUCAUCCUAGUGCUUGAUGGUUUUUGCGACUGCAUUUGAAAAACCUUUAAAAGUUCUUGAAAUGUUUCAAAUUGACUGACCUUCAUGUCUUAAAGUAGUGAUGGACUGUCAUUUCUCUUUGCUUAUUUGAGCUGUUAUUAUCAUAAUAUGGACUUGGUCUUUCACCAAAUAGGGCUAUCUUCUGUUUACCCCUCUACCUUGUCACAACACAACUGAUUGGCUCAAAUGCAUUAAGAAGGAAAGGAAUUCCACAAGUUUACUUUUGAUAAGGCACACCUGUUAAUUGAAAUGCAUUCCAGGUGACUACCUCCAUGAAGCUGGUUGAGAGAAUGCCACGAUUGUGCAAAGCUGUCACUGCAAAGGGUGGCUACUUUGAAGAAUCUCAAAUAUAAAAUCGAUUUUGAUUUGUUUCACUUUUUUUUGGUUACUACAUGAUUCCAUAUGUGUUAUUUCAUAGUUUGGAUGUCUUCACUCUUAUUAUACAAUGUCAAUUUUUAUUUUAUUUUUUUAAUAAAGAAAAACCUUUGAAUUAGUAGGUGUGUCCAAACUUUUGACUGGUACUGUAUGUCCUGAAAUCCUCUCAUUUGUGAUAAGUGUGGACUUGAGGAAAGUGAAUGAAUCUCUGUCUCCAUAGGAACAACAUUGAUGGCCUGGGAUAGUGCCUUGCUUUGGUGGUGGAUUUACAUGACAUGCAUGUACAGUAUAUUUUGUGGCCUUUGAUUAACAUAACGAUAUUUUAUCCCAAUAAAACUAAAGUAAAGGUCAAAGGGAAGCAGUGGAUGACUUGGACAAUUCACUAGCCUGGUCCCAGAUCUGUUUGUGCUGUCUUGCCAACUUUAACCACCAUUGGACUUGGCAACAUGGCCCAACCGGAGCUGGGACCCGGCUACAAUUUCACAACGAGGAUCUAGCAUUUCCUUAAAUCAGUUGAAGUUAAUACCAGGUCAUAGCAUGUGAAUAACAGGUAAUAACACGUUAACAGGUUAAAACAUGUGAAUAACGUGAAAAGCAGGUCCUAACAUGUUAGCAGGUCAUAACAUGUUAACAGGUCAUAACAUGUUAAUAACAGAUGGUUAUUACACUUCAAUCAGAUUGUCUGUUUUGACUCAACCUUCAUUCAGUAUGUAACCUGUAGUUGAUUGUGAUGUAUGCUUGUGUCUUGAUCAAUGAACAUUUACGUUCGAAUAAUAAAACCCUUCAUUUUUUUUCUAUUGGAUUUAAUUAAAGAAAUAUCCAUCGAUGUAGAAUGUAAUUUCAUGGACACAGCUAGACAGGUGUUUGAUGUGUUAGCAUGUGGUUAAGAAGAACUAAAUAACAAUUUCAGUUUUUAUAUUUAUGAAGA
ensembl:lncRNA